rnacentral:rRNA from 1 species
AUUGAACGCUGGCGGCAGGCUUAACACAUGCAAGUCGAGCGGGGUGAUGGUGCUUGCACUAUCACUUAGCGGCGGACGGGUGAGUAAUGCUUAGGAAUCUGCCUAUUAGUGGGGGACAACAUCUCGAAAGGGAUGCUAAUACCGCAUACGUCCUACGGGAGAAAGCAGGGGAUCACUUGUGACCUUGCGCUAAUAGAUGAGCCUAAGUCGGAUUAGCUAGUUGGUGGGGUAAAGGCCUACCAAGGCGACGAUCUGUAGCGGGUCUGAGAGGAUGAUCCGCCACACUGGGACUGAGACACGGCCCAGACUCCUACGGGAGGCAGCAGUGGGGAAUAUUGGACAAUGGGGGGAACCCUGAUCCAGCCAUGCCGCGUGUGUGAAGAAGGCCUAUGGUUGUAUAGCACUUUAAGCGAGGAGGAGGCUCUUUUGGUUAAUACCCAAGAUGAGUGGACGUUACUCGCAGAAUAAGCACCGGCUAACUCUGCGCCAGCAGCCGCCGUAA